rnacentral:lncRNA from 1 species
UGCCCGCUUUUGUCCUUGUGAAACGUGAAUGCUGCAGCACGCGGUCGAAAGUCCUGAACCCCCGUGCUGCUACGCGACGGUAAUUUCCCCAUUUGGUAAAGGGCAGUGCAGUAAUUUCCUGGAGGCAGUUAACCAGUGCUCCCCUGGGGCCUGGGCAGUUUGGGAAGAACACGCGCGCUGGCAGAGCGCACUACGCAACACAAAUGCCCCGCGGCGCUGCCCCAGAUCUCUGUCCCUGUCGUGGCACCAAAUCCAAAUCCCACUCUUUGGCACCUCUAAUCCCAAGGAGAGGGAGGCGAAAAUCCCGUUAACCCCACUGCAUUCCCCCAGAGGCGACGAACAGCCAACCGCGGCGCAGGUGUCACAGGAGGGAGGGACGAACAAAAGCUGAGGCCUUGUUUAGUUGGGGAAUUUGGGAGGUGCCAAAUUACUGUUACAGCACUGUAGCACACUGUAGCGUUUCGUUUGUAUUUGUGAAUUAUUGUCCAAAUAUUGACUAAUUAGGCUCAAAAGAUUCGUCUCGCAAAGUACAACAAAACUGUGCAAUUAGUUUUUAAUUUCAUCUACAUUUAGUACUCCAUGCAUGUACCGCAAGUUUGAUGUGAUGGAGAAUCUUCUUUUUGCAUAGUGUCAAAGUUGGGAGUUGGGAGUAACAAAACAUGGCCUGAAAAGAAUCCAUCUUUGCGACCCCCAUCUCUUUCGUGCUCCUACCCCUCCCUGUUCCGCCUGAAGCUUCCCUUCGUUCUCAUCUUCUCCGGGUGGGGGGCAACGGGUGGUGCGAUCUUGUUUGGGUUCACGCGGGGGAGAAGGGCA